rnacentral:rRNA from 1 species
UACGGAGGGUGCAAGCGUUAUCCGGAUUCACUGGGUUUAAAGGGUGCGUAGGUGGGUCUGUAAGUCAGUGGUGAAAUCUCCAAGCUUAACUUGGAAACUGCCGUUGAUACUGUAGACCUUGAAUGCUGUGGAGGUGAGCGGAAUAUGUCAUGUAGCGGUGAAAUGCUUAGAUAUGACAUAGAACACCAAUUGCGAAGGCAGCUCACUACCCAGAUAUUGACACUGAGGCACGAAAGCGUGGGGAUCAAACAGG